GACGAACGCUGGCGGCGUGCUUAACACAUGCAAGUCGAACGGAAAGGCCCUGCUUUUGUGGGGUGCUCGAGUGGCGAACGGGUGAGUAACACGUGAGUAACCUGCCCUUGACUUUGGGAUAACUUCAGGAAACUGGGGCUAAUACCGGAUAGGAGCUCCUGCUGCAUGGUGGGGGUUGGAAAGUUUCGGCGGUUGGGGAUGGACUCGCGGCUUAUCAGCUUGUUGGUGGGGUAGUGGCUUACCAAGGCUUUGACGGGUAGCCGGCCUGAGAGGGUGACCGGCCACAUUGGGACUGAGAUACGGCCCAGACUCCUACGGGAGGCAGCAGUGGGGAAUAUUGCACAAUGGGCGGAAGCCUGAUGAAGCAACGCCGCGUGCGGGAUGACGGCCUUCGGGUUGUAAACCGAUUUAGCAUGUGACGAAGCGUGAGUGACGGUAAUGGGUAAAGAAGCACCGGCUAACUACGUG
rnacentral:rRNA from 1 species